rnacentral:rRNA from 1 species
CUACGGGGGGCAGCAGUAACGAAUAUUGGGCAAUGGGCGAAAGCCUGACCCAGCAAUGCCGCGUGCAGGAUGAAGCCCCUCGGGGUGUAAACUGCUUUCAGGAGCUAGAAAGCUCCGGUUGAUCAGCUCCAGAAGAAGUCACGGCUAACUUCGUGCCAGCAGCCGCGGUAAUACGAAGGUGGCAAGCGUUAUUCGAAAUCACUGGGCUUAAAGGGUGCGUAGGCGGACAUGCAAGUGUCUAGUGAAAUCCCCCGGCUUAACCGGGGAAUGGCUGGACAAACUGCAUGUCUUGAGGCAAGUAGGGGUGUGUGGAACUCUUGGUGGAGCGGUGGAAUGCGUAGAUAUCAAGAGGAACGCCGAAGGUGAAGACAGCACACUAGGCUUGUCCUGACGCUGAGGCACGAAAGCGUGGGGAGCAAACAGGAUUAGAUACCCCUGUAGUC